GAUGAACGCUGGCGGCGUGCUUAACACAUGCAAGUCGAACGGAGUUUUAAUAAAUGAUUGAUUAAGCUUGCUUUUGAGAGAUUUUAUUAAAACUUAGUGGCGGACGGGUGAGUAACGCGUGGGUAACCUGCCCUAUACAGGGGAACAACAGUUGGAACGACUGCUAAUACCGCAUAAGCGCACAGCAUCGCAUGAUGCAGUGUGAAAAACUCCGGUGGUAUAGGAUGGACCCGCGUCUGAUUAGCUAGUUGGUGGGGUAACGGCCCACCAAGGCGACGAUCAGUAGCCGGCCUGAGAGGGUGAACGGCCACAUUGGGACUGAGACACGGCCCAAACUCCUACGGGAGGCAGCAGUGGGGAAUAUUGCACAAUGGGGGGAAACCCUGAUGCAGCGACGCCGCGUGAGUGAAGAAGUAUUUCGGUAUGUAAAGCUCUAUCAGCAGGGAAGAAAAAUGGACGGUACCUGACUAAGAAGCCCCGGCUAAC
rnacentral:rRNA from 1 species